GAAUCUUGGAAAGCCUGUAGUUUAGUAGUUUAUGCGUGUUUACACUUUGAUCAUGUGCUUUUGAGUUCAACACAACAUUUAAUCAGUUUAACCUGAGAGCUGAUGAGCUGAUCAGGUGCAUUUAGAUAAACUGACAGAUCCACGUUUCUCUGCUGGUUGUGACAAAGUAUUAGAUUUGUUGUAAAAUACAUGCAACUUAAAUCUAAGACUGGCCACCUUGUCGUUUGUCGUUUUAAUGAAAGCUGAUAGAUGUGUUGGGGAGAGGGAGGGAGCAGAUGUCUGAGUCUGCUGGUAAGUGAGACUGAAGCGCAGUUGUUCCUCCGCUCCACUAGGCGGCGGAAGCGGCUUCACGUUCGGUCUGAGCGCUUCGGAUGAGUGACAGAAGGACGCUUGUUGUGACAGCAUGUGCAGACCGUUUAAAAUACAGAUCCUGCAGAUGACAGCUCAGCGACAGUGUUUUUAAUCUCAUUAAACAGCAUCUAUUCCAGCACAUAAACAAACAAAACCGACCCCCGCUGCGAUAAAGUGCAGGAGUCGAGAGUCACUAGUAAGGGAUGUGUUUGAACAGAAGCGGAGCUCUGGGACGUGUGGACAGACUUUCACUGUAAUGAUGGACAUCCGCUGAUGGACAGGCUCUACAGGCAGGUGGCAGGUUAAAUAAGUACCUGACAGUAUUGCAAGUAGGAGGAACCAUUGAAUCUGCAGCUGUGUCAGAGAGAUGAAAUUGGACAUGCCACGCUCGUCUGGAAGAGAUGAAGAUAUGCAGGAUCCAGUGACAAUUCCUGAAAAGUUGAGAGCUCAUAUCAUGUUUUACCUUUCAUAUAAAGUGAACAGUGUAGCACUAAAUUCACAGCUUUUUUGGGGGGGAAAAAUAUGCAUAUACUAUAUUUAUAUAUUUUUAGGUUUACAUAUACAAAUCACAAAUAUAUCAGACACUUAUACGUACAUUUUGGAAAAUUAAGAAACUGAUAAAUACAUUAAUGUAUUUACUCACCCAUGGAUGUUGCAACAAGCAUUUACUCUUUGGUAGUAUCCAAAUAUAAUAUCCCACCAAGACUAUUUUUGUGAAUACACACACUUUUCUUCUCUUUUUCAAUCGAAAGAUGGCGUGAAAAAGGCUUCUGAAAGUGAGAAAGUCUGUUUUGGUAGCCUAACUUAUAUAAAGCGACAGCAUCUCUUCUGAAGGAUCGAAACAAAGGAUUUGGAGGGGCCAAGUAAGAAAGGAGUGGGCAGAACUAAUGAGAGAAAGGCAACUCCUCUUAAACUUUACAAAAGAAUACAGAAAAUAAAAGUAAAAUAAAAUCUACUUUGCUAGCCAAAAAAUAGUAUAGUCAAAAAUGUAGCAUCAAAAGUGUUAAAUGUGAAUAAUAGCAUUUAAAUGCUUCACAUUAAAUUUCAAAUAAAAUUAAAAUAAAGCACAAAAACAUUAGCCAGUUUUCAUGCACUUCUUUAAUAUAUCAGUUUUUCAUAUUCACAACAAAUACAUUAAGCUCUUUUUCCUUUUAUAUAAUACAGUCUUAAAUAUUUUUACACAGAAAUAUGUUCUCAGAAUUUCAUCUUUAAAAAUGUAUUUUCUUAACCUUUAUUUCUUAAGUUGAAACAUUUGAAGUCAUUUAAUUGUUUUUUAUCUCCAUGCCUCUUAGCAAAUGGACAGAA